GAUGAACGCUGGCGGCGUGCCUAAUACAUGCAAGUCGAGCGAAUGGAUUAAGAGCUUGCUCUUAUGAAGUUAGCGGCGGACGGGUGAGUAACACGUGGGUAACCUGCCCAUAAGACUGGGAUAACUCCGGGAAACCGGGGCUAAUACCGGAUAACAUUUUGAACCGCAUGGUUCGAAAUUGAAAGGCGGCUUCGGCUGUCACUUAUGGAUGGACCCGCGUCGCAUUAGCUAGUUGGUGAGGUAAAGGCUCACCAAGGCAACGAUGCGUAGCCGACCUGAGAGGGUGAUCGGCCACACUGGGACGGAGACACGGCCCAGACUCCUACGGGAGGCAGCAGUAGGGAAUCUUCCGCAAUGGACGAAAGUCUGACGGAGCAACGCCGCGUGAGUGAUGAAGGCUUUCGGGUCGUAAAACUCUGUUGUUAGGGAAGAACAAGUGCUAGUUGAAUAAGCUGGCACCUUGACGGUACCUAACCAGAAAGCCACGGCUAACUACGUGCCAGCAGCCGCGGUAA
rnacentral:rRNA from 1 species